UGCCCAGCAACUCCUAUCCCUACCUCCUCGUGGACCGGCCGGAAACUACGAGCAACCUUACCGAAGACCGGGUAACCAACCCCUGUGGAAACUUUGUUCGUAGGCUGACAGAUAAGG
rnacentral:ribozyme from 1 species